rnacentral:rRNA from 1 species
GAUGAACGCUGGCGGCGUGCCUAAUACAUGCAAGUCGAGCGAACAGACGAGGAGCUUGCUCCUCUGACGUUAGCGGCGGACGGGUGAGUAACACGUGGAUAACCUACCUAUAAGACUGGGAUAACUUCGGGAAACCGGAGCUAAUACCGGAUAAUAUAUUGAACCGCAUGGUUCAAUAGUGAAAGACGGUUUUGCUGUCACUUAUAGAUGGAUCCGCGCCGCAUUAGCUAGUUGGUAAGGUAACGGCUUACCAAGGCAACGAUGCGUAGCCGACCUGAGAGGGUGAUGGGCCACACUGGAACUGAGACACGGUCCAGACCCCUAGGGGAGGCAGCAGUAGGGAAUCUUCCGCAAUGGGCGAAAGCCUGACGGAGCAACGCCGCGUGAGUGAUGAAGGUCUUCGGAUCGUAAAACUCUUUUAUUAGGGAAGAAAAAAUGUGAAAGUAACUAUGCACGUUUUGACGGUACCUAAACAAAAAGCCACGGCUAACUACGU